AGGGUGGGAAGGAGGGAGGGAGGGGAGGAGGGAGCCGGGCUUGGUGAGUGAACACUGCAGAGCUGCUGCGAGAGGAGCGGGAGGCAGAGCCAGGCCGGCUGGGAAGGGCAGAUUUGCUGAGCCCGCGACAAAAAUGGUUUGAGUAAUUAUCGACGCCUGCCGCUAUGUGGCCAGGAAGAUGAGGACCCUAUGGAGCCGGGAGCCACCGCCCUGCCCGGCACAGGCAGAGCCCCGCGGCCACCGACAGAAUGUAAAGGGUGAGGUAUCAGCACCUCCUGAAGCAACAGCCUCCCUUCCCAGGAACAUCAAACCCAUCCAGUGCAGGUCCUGACAGUAAAACCCUCAAGGUCCUCCCAUGAAGGCCACAAGAUUUCUUCCCACUGAUUUCUCCAGGGAAUCCAUUUGCUGGGAAUCUUGCAGCGCAGGGAUUGGAAAAUAUCAGCAAAUCCCUCCUGUAUCUGCUCUCAACAGAGAAGCACAACGAUAGAAAACAUCUUAAUUGGUCUCCUGUUACCGGAAUUUUCCAGCUGGUAGACAAAAAAAGAAGAUUCCCAAUAUGUAUCAGAUGCUCCUGGCACUUCUGGGCCAUGGAAUACCAGAGGAAGAGCUCGAGCCAUUGCAUCCCAGCAGUGAUUUGGAAUUUUAUCCUGUGAAACCAAUUUGUGCUCCUGAUGAUAUUGGUAUAAAAUUAGACAGUUUCCAUGAAGGUCAAAUCAGUCCCUGAGCUGGAGUGAGGAGUCUGGGAGCUCAGGGCUGUGGAAAUCCCAGGAUGUUUUGUAUGAUCCCUUCCCCCAUGCCCAGUCUGAAUGGGCAACCAGCUCCCCCAGAGCAGAGGCUGCAGGGGCACAGCAGGACCCCCCCGACCCCUGCAGUGUCACAGAGCAAUGACAGCAGAAUCACAAACCUCACACUCGUGGGGGAGACUCUGCCCGACCCCCUCCUGUGACAGCUGAACCAGAAGUAAAGUUGGAUCAAAAGCA